rnacentral:rRNA from 1 species
CCCUUAGAUGUUCUGGGCUGCACGCGCGCUACACUGAAGCUAUCAACACGUUUUCCCUCCCUGAGAAGGGCGGGUAACCUUUUGAAUCAGCUUCGUGGUAGGGAUCGGGGCUUGCAAUUGUUCCCCGUGAACCAGGAAUUCCUAGUAGACGCGAGUCAUAAGCUCGCAUCGAUUAAGUCCCUGCCCUUUGUACACACCGCCCGUCGCUACUACCGAUUGAACGUUUUAGUGAGGCAUUAGGACCGACGCAUCUCAGUUUAACCGCUGGUUUGUGUUGGAAAGACUUCCAAACUUGAGCGUUUAGAGGAAGUAAAAGUCGUAACA